rnacentral:rRNA from 1 species
GAUGAACGCUGACGGCGUGCCUAAUACAUGCAAGUCGAGCGAACAGACGAGGAGCUUGCUCCCCUGACGUUAGCGGCGGACGGGUGAGUAACACGUGGAUAACCUACCUAUAAGACUGGGAUAACUUCGGGAAACCGGAGCUAAUACCGGAUAAUAUAUUGAACCGCAUGGUUCAAUAGUGAAAGACGGUUUUGCUGUCACUUAUAGAUGGAUCCGCGCCGCAUUAGCUAGUUGGUAAGGUAACGGCUUACCAAGGCAACGAUGCGUAGCCGACCUGAGAGGGUGAUCGGCCACACUGGAACUGAGACACGGUCCAGACUCCUACGGGAGGCAGCAGUAGGGAAUCUUCCGCAAUGGGCGAAAGCCUGACGGAGCAACGCCGCGUGAGUGAUGAAGGUCUUCGGAUCGUAAAACUCUGUUAUUAGGGAAGAACAAAUGUGUAAGUAACUAUGCACGUCUUGACGGUACCUAAUCAGAAAGCCACGGCUAACUACGUG